UGGGCUGUCGUCUAAUGGUAGGACACCGGGUUUUGGUCCCGGCAGUCGGGGUUCGAGUCCCUGCGGCCCAGCAA
rnacentral:tRNA from 1 species